rnacentral:rRNA from 1 species
GACCGGUCUCGCGAAUGCAUNUAGAUUAAGUUGAUCAUGGCUCAGAACCACGCUGUAGGCGUGCCUAACACAUGCGAGUCGAACGCGAAAGCCCCGCAAGGGGUAAGUAGAGUGGCAAACGGGUGAGUAACGCGUGGGUGACCUGCCUUCGAGCGGGGGAUAACGUUCCGAAAGGGACGCUAAUACCGCAUGACAUCCUGCUUUUCAAGAAGCGGAGAUCAAAGCUGGGGAUCGCAAGACCUAGCACUCGAAGAGGGGCCCGCGUCCGAUUAGCUAGUUAGGUGGGGUAACGGCUCACCAAGGCAACGAUCGGUAGCCGGCCUGAGAGGGCGGACGGCCACACUGGGACUGAGACACGGCCCAGACUCCUACGGGAGGCAGCAGUGGGGAAUUGUUCGCAAUGGGCGCAAGCCUGACGACGCAACGCCGCGUGGAGGAUGAAGAUCUUCGGGUCGUAAACUCCUUUCGAUCGAGACGAAUUCCCUGGCGGUGAACAAUCGCGAGGGUUGACGGUACCGAGAGAAGAAGCCCCGGCUAACUCCGUUGCCAGCAAGCCGCAGGUAAUACANGGGAGGGGCAAGCGUUGUUCGGAAUUU